rnacentral:tRNA from 1 species
GUUUGCGUAGCUUAAUUAAAGCAAAACACUGAAAAUGUUAAAAUGGGCUCUAAAAAUCCCCACAGACA